rnacentral:lncRNA from 1 species
AUGGAUGUUAAUGGGCAGAUAUGUCAACAAUCAGUUGAAUAUGACUGGAAAUCGAAAUAUUAUGACUAGUGUAUGAUGAUUGGGAAUAAUGUACACGAAGGAAGUCUACUGCAUCUUUGGUGUCUAAAGAAGCAGUUGUACAUGCGAAACAACAAAUAACCACGUCGAAAUUGUAUUUGGAAAAGCAGUGGCAGACAGCAAAGAGUAA